GACGAACGCUGGCGGCGUGCUUAACACAUGCAAGUCGAACGGAAAGGCCCUGCUUUUGUGGGGUGCUCGAGUGGCGAACGGGUGAGUAACACGUGAGUAACCUGCCCUUGACCUUGGGAUAACUUCAGGAAACUGGGGCUAAUACCGGAUAGGAGCUCCUGCUGCAUGGUGGGGGUUGGAAAGUUUCGGCGGUUGGGGAUGGACUCGCGGCUUAUCAGCUUGUUGGUGGGGUAGUGGCUUACCAAGGCUUUGACGGGUAGCCGGCCUGAGAGAGUGACCGGCCACAUUGGGACUGAGAUACGGCCCAGACUCCUACGGGAGGCAGCAGUGGGGAAUAUUGCACAAUGGGCGGAAGCCUGAUGCAGCAACGCCGCGUGCGGGAUGACGGCCUUCGGGUUGUAAACCGCUUUCGCCUGUGACGAAGCGUGAGUGACGGUAAUGGGUAAAGAAGCACCGGCUAACUACGUG
rnacentral:rRNA from 1 species